CGUAAGUUGCGAGCGUUGUUCAGAAUUAUUGGGCGUAAAGAGCGCGCAGGUGGUUGAUUAAGUCUGAUGUGAAAGCCCACGGCUUAACCGUGGAGGGUCAUUGGAAACUGGUCGACUUGAGUGCAGAAGAGGGAAGUGGAAUUCCAUGUGUAGCGGUGAAAUGCGUAGAGAUAUGGAGGAACACCAGUGGCGAAGGCGGCUUCCUGGUCUGUAACUGACACUGAGGCGCGAAAGCGUGGAGAGCAAACAGGGAUUA
rnacentral:rRNA from 1 species